UAUGUUGUGGACUAACAGGUAAGUCAUAAAUUUUUGAUAUUUACUAUUAAGUGUUCGAAUCACUUCAACAUAA
rfam:Triticum urartu cultivar G1812 contig1454701, whole genome shotgun sequence.